rnacentral:rRNA from 1 species
CGCGAACGGCUCAUUAUAACAGCUAUAAUUUACUUGAAUUUGACAACCCUACUUGGAUACCGGUGGUAAUUCUAGCGCUAAUACAUGCACCAAAGCUCCGACCGCGAGGGAAGAGCGCAUUUAUUAGAACAAAACCACACGGCUUCGGCCGUCCAAUGUUGACUCAGAAUAACUAAGCUGAUCGCAUGGUCUUGCACCGGCGACGUUUCUUUCAAGUAUCUGCCUUAUCAACUUUCGAUGGUAGUGUAUCUGACUACCAUGGUGAUGACGGGUAACGGAGGAUAAGGGUUCGACUCCGGAGAAGGGGCCUGAGAAAUGGCCACUACGUCUAAGGAUGGCAGCAGGCGCGCAAAUUACCCACUCUCAGUACGAGGAGGUAGUGACGAGAAAUAACAAGACCGUUCUCACAAGAGGCCGGUCAUUGGAAUGGGACAAUUUAAACCCUUUAACGAGUAUCUAUGAGAGGGCAAGUCUGGUGCCAGCAGCCGCGGUAAUUCCAGC